UUUCACCGUGUUAACCAGGAUAGUCUCGAUCUCCUGACCUCGUGAUCCACCCGCCUUGGCCUCCCAAAGUGCUGGGAUUACAGGCGUGAGCCACCGCCCUCGGCCCAGCCUUGCUAGCUCUUUGAGAGUUGAACCAGCCUCAAGCUCAGGCACCCUCCUCUCCUCCUCACAACUUGGCAUUUGUAAAAAGUGGCACAGACCAUCCUGUGGGGUAGGCCCACCCAUAAGCCCAAGGAAAACUGAGUGUGGUGAGGAGCUGUCCAGGUCCCUGGUCUGAAUCUCAGCAUCUAGCCUCCAGAUCUGGGCCUGCAGCCCAGGCCCCACCUCCCCAAGCUGCUGCAGGUUAUGGAGGCUGCAGUCCUGCUGCCCCAAAGCCUGGAGGAGGAUAAGGAACUACAGCUGCCACCUGGUCAUGCUUGCAGGGGUGGGAGAUGGUGGGGGUGCUCAACACACCACAUUCUGAAAAUAAGUAAAUAAGGAGAAAAAGGCAAAGUCCCUCUGUGGAAACACAGCUGGGGCCACCAAUGCAGGUUCCCGUGUGGAGCACCUAGCCUAAGAUAAAGGCGAGAGAGGUGAAAGGGGCUUGGGGAUCCCAGGCCUUGUGGGCCCUCAAGGGAGAAUGGCCUGGGCCUCUGAGAGAGUGGGGUCCAGCUAGUGGAACUUUGGAGAAAGGCACAAUUGACGUGGACUUUGGGAGGCCUAAAACAAAUGCUGGUCCCAGACUGGCCACAGACUCCCAGCACACACCCCUCCAAGUCUAACCUUCAAGAACAAGGUCAGAGUGAACAGCUAAUUGUCGGGGAGAUGGGGUAGGAGGGAACAGGUAAUAAUGAGAGAGGUAUCCAAAACUAGAGACAGGGACCUGGAGGUAAGGCA
rnacentral:lncRNA from 1 species